rnacentral:rRNA from 1 species
CUCAGGAUGAACGCUAGCGGCAGGCCUAACACAUGCAAGUCGAACGGUAACAUAAGGUGCUUGCACUUUGAUGACGAGUGGCGCACGGGUGCGCAACGCGUAUAGAACCUACCCUGUACAGGGGGAUAGCCCAGAGAAAUUUGGAUUAAUACCCCGUGGUAAAUAUGAAUGGCAUCAUUUAUAUUUUAAAGUUUUCGGACGGUACGGGAUGGCUAUGCGUCCUAUUAGUUAGAUGGUGAGGUAACGGCUCACCAUGGCAGCGAUAGGUAGGGGCCCUGAGAGGGGGAUCCCCCACACUGGUACUGAGACACGGACCAGACUCCUACGGGAGGCAGCAGUGAGGAAUAUUGGACAAUGGGCGCAAGCCUGAUCCAGCCAUGCCGCGUGCAGGAAGACGGCCCUAUGGGUUGUAAACUGCUUUUAUACGGGAAGAAUAAGGGACACGUGUGUCCUGGUGACGGUACCGUAAGAAUAAGGACCGGCUAACUCCGUGCCAGCAGCCGCGGUAAUACGGAGGGUCCGAGCGUUAUCCGGAAUUAUUGGGUUUAAAGGGUCCGCAGGCGGGCAAUUAAGUCAGGGGUGAAAUGGUGCGGCUCAACCGUAGCACUGCCCUUGAUACUGGUUGUCUUGAGUCAUAGUGAAGUGGCCGGAAUAUGUAGUGUAGCGGUGAAAUGCAUAGAUAUUACAUAGAACACCGAUUGCGAAGGCAGGUCACUAACUAUCGACUGACGCUGAUGGACGAAAGCGUGGGGAGCGAACGGGAUUAGAUACCCCGGUAGUCCACGCCGUAAACGAUGGAUACUAGCUGUCCGCUGCCUUGAGCAGUGGGCGGCCCAGCGAAAGUGAUAAGUAUCCCACC